GAUGAACGCUGGCGGCGUGCUUAACACAUGCAAGUCGAACGGAAAGACGGGGAGAGUGCUGGUGGCGCGUGACGGGCGGGCGGGUGAUAAACAGGAGCGUAACCGGCCGAGGGGACUGGGAUAACGUAGGUAAACCUGAUAUAACACCGGAUAAGAGGUUGAACCCGGGGGUUCAUUGGGGAAAGAGGGAUUUGCGGGCACGAAUAGAGGGAACGUAGCCGGAUUAGCUAGUUGGUAAGGUAACGGCCUACCAAGGCGACGAUGCGUAGCCGACCUGAGAGGACGACCGGCCACACUGGGACUGAGACACGGCCCAGACUCCUACGGGAGGCAGCAGUAGGGAAUUUUGGGCAAUGGGCGCAAGCCUGAUGCAGCCAUGCCGCGUGCGUGACGAAGGCCUUCGGGUUGUAAACUGCUGUUGUACGGAACGAAAAGGCUCGGGCUAAUACCUGGGGGUCUUGACGGUACCUAAUCAGUAAGCACCGGCUAACUACGUG
rnacentral:rRNA from 1 species